GACGAACGCGGCGGCGUGCCUAAUACAUGCAAGUAGAACGCUGAAGAGAGGAGCUUGCUCUUCUUGGAUGAGUUGCGAACGGGUGAGUAACGCGUAGGUAACCUGCCUGGUAGCGGGGGAUAACUAUUGGAAACGAUAGCUAAUACCGCAUAAUAGCAGUUAUUGCAUGAUAACUGUUUGAAAGGUGCAAAUGCAUCACUACCAGAUGGACCUGCGUUGUAUUAGCUAGUUGGUGAGGUAACGGCUCACCAAGGCAACGAUACAUAGCCGACCUGAGAGGGUGAUCGGCCACACUGGGACUGAGACACGGCCCAGACUCCUACGGGAGGCAGCAGUAGGGAAUCUUCGGCAAUGGACGGAAGUCUGACCGAGCAACGCCGCGUGAGUGAAGAAGGUUUUCGGAUCGUAAAGCUCUGUUGUAAGAGAAGAAACGAGUUGAGAGUGGAAA
rnacentral:rRNA from 1 species